ensembl:snoRNA SNORA70 Small nucleolar RNA SNORA70
CUGUAGCUAGUUAAGAUGAUUCACCUAUCUCCCUGAUGCGGGGCUCAGUGUGCAGUGGCAGCAAAAAGCAGAUUCCUUGAUUGUGUAUGCAGUAAGGGAUCAUGGAGACAUCC